GAACGGUCGGCAGGCGAUCCGCGUCGGUCGCGCGAGGUGGUAUGGUUCCCCAGAGGCCGGUUCUUGUGCUGCCUACCCCUUCAGGGGAAGCGGGCCACUUGAUGUAAGCCUCCAUCCGGCGCCCUCCAACGGGCGCAGGAGGACAACAGAGCACACCCCGCGUACCACCGAGCCUUCGUCGGUCGCGUGGCGCGCGGGGACGUGCGAUGCUCUCGGACCCAGCGAACGCCGUGGGCGAGGACUCACGUCCCAGUCCCGAUAGAAGCUUCGAUAUAGUGCAUGACGGCCGCUCCCGCCCCCCGACCGCCCCGGCGGCUCGUGGGCGAGGCGCGGCGUCGCGGAGGAAUGCUACCUGGUUGAUCCUGC
rnacentral:misc_RNA from 1 species